CAAUAGCGUAUAUUAAAGUUGUUGCGGUUAAAAAGCUCGUAGUUGGAUUUCUGCCGAGGACGACCGGUCCGCCCUCUGGGUGAGUAUCUGGCUUGGCCUGGGCAUCUUCUUGGAGAACGUAGCUGCACUUGACUGUGUGGUGCGGUAUCCAGGACUUUUACUUUGAGGAAAUUAGAGUGUUUCAAGCAGGCAUGCGCCUUGAAUACAUUAGCAUGGAAUAAUAGAAUAGGACUUGAAUCUCUUCUGUUGGUCUGAGGGGUUGAAGUAAUGAUUAAUAGGGAUAGUUGGGGGCAUUAGUACUUAACUGUCAGAGGUGAAAUUCUCGGAUUUGUUAAAGACUAACUUAUGCGAAAGCAUUUGCCAAGGAUGUUUUCAUUAAUCAAGAACGAAAGUUAGGGGAUCAAAGAUGAUCAGAUACCAU
rnacentral:rRNA from 1 species